rnacentral:lncRNA from 1 species
GUUGAGUGUUAUGUUCUCCAUGGCCCCUGGCUCGUUCCACCUGCACCACCGCCGCUCCCGUCAGGCCUUUUCCCCAUCCCCACUAGUGGCACAGGGGAUGCCCCUGCCCCAGUGUGGGAAGAACAGGGCUGCCUGCGGGCGACACAGCAAGGUCCAGCUGACUCUGGAGGCCUCCUGGAGCCUGCUCGGCCCUUCCCCGGCCCGGCCCGGCCCAAAGAGAAAAACAACAACAGCUAUUGAAACAUGAAGGAUCAGUUUCCUCGGAGCUCUGGGAACCCGGGGGUCCCAAAGGAGAGAGACUCUCGGGCAGGGGUGGGAUACACUGUGGGCCCUCCACAGUCAGCUCUUUGGAAGCUGUCAGGAGGCACCCCUCCACCCCCCAGUUUAGAAAAAUAGACAUCUGUAUUUUUGCAUUUCUGUUCUCCCUGCCUGACUGCUGAUGGCAGCAGUGACCCCCAUGUGAUCCCUGGGCCCUGAGUCACAGCCGCCAUCCACCCCCCACCACCUUUCCAAGUCAUGGCUUCAUUCAGCCCUAAAUGGGAACACACGCCUCAGACCCCACCAUGCCCUGGGGGGUCCCCACAUACGCACACUCACAC